CACAUUUCAAAAGCAGACGAUGCAGCACUUGCGAACCUGCGGAAAAUCGAAAAGGAGCGCAGAGGCCAAGAACAAACAAAAUAGGAGCCAGUGAGAAAUGAAGCACAGUUCUGAGGAACCGGUUCAGAGAACCAAGUAUUGUUAACUGGAAAAGAGAAAUUUUUCUUCCUUACUGUAUUUCUGCAAGAAGAAGAGGGUGGUGUCCCACAAAUCUUGGGAGCAUCUAAGAAUUACAGUCACAGCAGGCUCCAGGCAGCUGACCCCUUGGCCGCGACACACCCUCCCUCCCUCUUCCUGCCCGGUAGAGCCAUGUCCUCCCAGACAAUAGCUCUGAGGGCUGGCCCCUCAUUGAUGGCUCCAGCUCUCUCCAAGCUCCAGCAACAUGGUGGCAAUGGCUUCCCAGUGUUUCUCCCCUGACCCUGCUCUGUGGAUAGUCUUUCCUUACAUUUCUUCAGAAUACCAUCUGACUGGGUUUUCUGCUGCCCACCAGGACGUGGCAGAUCUAUGAAUCACAUUCCAAAGAGUUUUCUGGAUGUUCACACAUAGGAGCCCAGAUUUGUUUCUUUAGAGAAGGACCAGAGCAGCUUAAAAUGACCAAGUACUAGAGUAGGAGCAUCAGGAUGGGGAGAUGGCAAAAGGAGUUCUUGUGGGGAAAACUCUAAUAAAGUACAAAGGGAUGGAGGAAAGAUUUAUGCUGACGGCAGAGAAUGCCUAGGAACAUUACAGAAAGAAAACUAUUAGAUUUACCUUGCAUUCACAAGAGCACAUUUUGAAAAUAGAUAUUGCGAGCCAAAUGAUGAAGACUUGCAAUCUUAGCUUGCAAUAUAGCCCAUAGAUCUGAAAGGAAUGAGCUGACAGCAGAUCAGAGUGAGAAUAAAUAGA